UUCCGCCGAAAUCCAUUUCUCACCUCUCGCGUCUCACCCGCCUGCGCGUACCCACCCCGAUCCUGUCCGCCAGUCCCGCGCGUGUCCUCCACCCGAAAAUCCUCCUUUCCUUCUCUUCUCUCCCAUCUCUUCUUUCCUCCCCGCAUCGCACGCCACCUCUCAAAUCCCAAUCUGCGCCGCCUCCACACGAGAUGGAUAUGGCGUGCCCUGGUGGAGUCUACGCCAGUCCCACACCUUCUGCCGCCCACUCUAGAGGCCAGACGGUGGAUAUGGUGUGCCCUGGUGGAGACGACGCUCGGCGCGACGAGAAGCUGCAGCAGCCCCGUGAAACUGCUGCGGAGUCCUGUGGGCGGCGGCUAUGGAGGACACGCAGCGCCCUCUGCUCCCUCAGCCAAAUUAUAUGGAAGCAUUCAUAAUUGGGGCACGGCAAAUUUGGAAGCAAAGGAACAAUCUCAUCUGUGAAAGAAAUCAGCCUAGCUUGCAAUAUUGGAAACAGCAUUUCAUUGAUGAAAGUCUACUACAAGCUCAUAGAUUCAGUGAAGAUAGAAGAGCGGCUUUCCUUAGUUGGACAGACCUCCUGUAGAGAUUAUCAGCUCUUUCCUCUGGCUUUGAUCUUUUGGUUUUUUUAGUUGUGUACAACCCUCUCCUCUCUCUCUGCUCUCUCACUACUUUGGCAGUUUGUACAGUUUUCUUUUUAGUUCUUUUGGUUUCAAUAAAAUCCUAAACAGCUGGGGCCUCCCUCACUGUAUAUACGUCAAAAAAAGAAGAAGUUGAUUUCGUUUCAGAAAUAAGGAGUUAAUGAUGCAGCUGCCUCAGAUUGAAAAUCCGCAAAGCAACUUACAAGAUCUUCUACAAGUUUUGAAGCUAAGGAUCAAAAUUGAUUGUGGCAUAUAUAAUCAGUUAAAUAAAUUCCAUA